GAAGUGACGUACGGAGAGGGCACGAGAAGCUUGAUCAAGCGCCGCUUCUCUAGCAACCCUGGGCAAGCGCGGGACCCUUUCCUGGCUACGACCUCCAAGAGCACCUGGGCCUCGCUGAUGCCCGACGGAGAGCCCUUGGCUUUUGUUGACUUGUUGACCUUUGCUACUGCGAUCUGGUUUUUCUGCGGAUCUUUUGUGUGAGGCUGAAACUGUUGGAGGCUUCCUGAUACCAUUCUUGAGAAUGGAGCGACCACAUAGGGGUGAGCAGAACCAAGAGAAUCUCAGGGAAAUGGAGCCACAUCAACUGAGUUAGGUCACCCCUAACUUCAACCCACACUUAAGAGUGUUAGAGAAGAUUCUACGAAAAGAGCAAACUUUUCUAGUAUCUUUCAAUUCUCACCAUGUAGGUAACCAUAUUCUCUAGCAACUGGGAUAUAUGUCUUUCUCAAAAGUUCCAAUUAUCUAACACCUUCACAGGUGUCACAGCUCUCUAGAAAAUAAAAUCAACUCUGUGUGUGUGUGUGUGUGUGUGUGUGUGUGUGUGUGUAUGUGUGUGUGUAGAAAGAAAUUUGAGAAAGAGAGAGAGAGACAUUUUAAGGAAUUGGCUCACAAGAUUGUGCUGGCUGGAUAAACCAAAAUCUACAAGGCAGGUUUGCAGCCUGGAGCCCCAGAAAAGAUUUGCAGUUUAAGUCUAAAGGCAGUCUGCUGGCAGAAUUCCUUCUUGCUCAGGGGAGGUUAGUCUUUGUUCUAUUAAGGCUCUCAACUGAUUGGAUGAGGACUACCUACAUUUUGGAGGGUAAUCUGCUUUAGUCUACCAAUUUAAAUAUUAAUCUCACCCAAAAAAAAAAAAAAAAAAAAAACACCUUCACAGAAUCAUUCAGAAUAAUGUUUCACCAACUAUUUGCGCACCGUGGCCCAGCAAAGUUGACACAUAAAAUUAACCAUCAUACUAGGUAACCAUAUUCUGCAGCUACUGGUGAGAUCUGUCUUUUCUGAGCACCUCAGUCAGCCAUCUGACAUCUUCACAGUAGCCUGUCUCACUCUAGCAAAUUGGAAAAAUAGAAUAGAUGAAGAGGAUUAUAGCAGAGAUCUCUCUCAUUGAACACAUUACCCAUUCAUUUCUGACCAGCCACCUUCUGUUCACCAUCUUAAUCAAGAGAAAAAGGGACAUCCCUGGAAAAAUAAGUUUUUCCCCCACUUAUGAAUGGGAAAACAGCAUGAGCAAUGAUAAAAAGAAUACUUAAUAUUUUAUUUCACUUUUAAAGUCUCAUUGCUUAUAUCAAAAGCAUAAUUUAAGCAAAAAGUAAUCUUUUUUAAAAGGAGAAAACAGACUCAGGUUUUAAGUGAUUUUUUUUUUCAAAUGACUUAAUGAGUAUUUGUUGAAGGACCCAAGUCAUUUGACUUCCAGCCGGUCUUCAUUAACUACCCAAUUCUGCCACAAGGUGGCAUAAGGUGACACGCCUCCUUACCCAGUUCCCCUUCUAAAGCUUUGGUUGCAGAGUACUGUGCAUCAGUCAUGUCCUGUCUUCACCUUAACUCUUAGAAACCUGGACAGCUACUGAGGGUAGGCUUAAUGCUCUCAAAAUGGACAAAAGUAAGAUAUUUUGGAUUUUUGUUUAUUGUUUUUUUCUAUACUCCUUAACAAAAGUUUUGUUCUAAGAUUGUUGUAUCUGCAUGCAUUCCAUUAUUCCAUGAACUCUGGAUUGGGUUGUGUGCCAGACAUAAUUCAGGAACUCCCUUAUUUUAAACAAGUUGUAUUUUACUUAGCAUGAUAUCACUUGUUAAACAGAAACAUUUAGAUACCAUAGCGCUUGCUCUAGACUUGCUGAAUCAGAAUUUCCAGGGGAAAGCUCUCUGAAAAUGCAAGUUCUUACUUUUGUAAUUAUGCUUCCCAUCUGGGCACAUUUAAGGAACACUGCUCUAGGUAAUGAUGUCCAGGUCCACCUGAGAGUGUCCUACAAAAACGAGCCCCCUCCUCUUGUCCUCAGCUUUCCCUUCUCCUACCAUUCACUCCUGCCACACCUUUCUCCUUCAUUUCCAUACCCCUGCCUCCUUCUCCCCAGAUCACCUGGCCCACUAUACUACAUCAUACUCAGCCCUCUUACUUUGUUAUUUCUGGAGACCAGGGAGGUGGCUUACUCAGGGGAGCUAGAGCCAGGUCUCUCUUUUUUAAAGAGUGAGGACAAGGUGUCCUAACAGUCUAUGGAAACAUGAGAGCUAAUUGGUAGUCACAAAUUGUCAGAGGAGCCCCAUUUAGUUUAAUGCUCUCUUAAAAAGCUGAGAGAAGGCCGGGCACGGUGGCUCAUGCCUGUAAUCCUAGCACUUUGGGAGGCCAAGGCGGGUGGAUCACCUGACGUCAGGAGUUCAAGAACAGCCUGGCCAACAUAGUGAAACCCCGUCCCUACUAAAAAUACAAAAUUAGCCGGGCAUGGUAGUGGUCACCUGUAAUUCCAGCUACUCGGGAGGCUGGGGCAGGAGAAUCACUUGAACCCACGAGGCGGAGGUUACAGUGAGUCGAGAUCGCACCGUUGCACUCCAGCCUGGGCAAAAAGAGUGAAACUCUGUCUCAAGAAAAAAAAAAAAAAAUGCUGAGAGACACCGUGCAGCUAUAAAAAAGAAUGACAUCAUGUCAUUUGCAGAGACAUGGAUGCAGCUGGAGGCCAUUAUCCUUAGCAAACUAACACAGGAACAGAAAACCGCACAUUCUCACUUAUAAGUAGGAGCUAAAUGAUGAGAACACAUGGACACGGAGAGAGGACCAACACAAGCCAGGGCCCAGUGAAGGGUGGGAGGAGGGAGAGGAUCAGGAAAAAUGACUGAGUACUAAGCUUAAUAUCUGGAUGAUCAAAUCAUCUGUACAACAAACCCCCAUGACAAAUUUACCUAUGUAACAAACUGCACAUGUGCCUCUGAACUUAAAAAAAAAAAAAAAAAAAAAACUAAGAGGUAUCUAUGUUACAGUCAUAUAAUUGGUCUCUUAUGUCCUUAUGCCCAGCCAUGUGACAGUCUAUGUUUGGGUGUCUAACAUUUUUAUCAUUUGUAUUUCUAUGAUGCUUUUGUGUUUGGAAAGCAGAAGCCAGGUUGUCUUUGUAAAUUUUCACUGGGUAGGUCUACUCUUCCAUAUUACUGUUACUGUGCAACUAGAAACCCACCUGGCCUUGGAGGAGAAAGAACAGCAUCACUGAAAUGCUUGCGUCAGGCAUUGGGGAUGGGGAUACAGCAUGCAAUUACAAAGGAACAAUAAGGGAGAAUUGAUAUAAAUAUAACUGAUAUAGUAUAUCAGUUUAAACAUGUAUUGACUCCAAUAACUACAUGUAUUAAGAUAUGAAUUUCUGGUGCCCUAAGGCAUGUGGCCAAAUUCAGUUAAAAGGAGGUCUUACAGCAGUAGUAUACGGCCAGGAAUCCACGAAUGUUCGGAAUCUUGCCUCAUCAGCACCCCUUUCCUGCCUCAGAAGAAAGAAUAAGGCUGAUUACAUUGAUGACUAAUGCAGUUACCUAGAGAGUUAUGAAUUCAACCAGAAUCUCAGCGCUUGUAAAGCCCUUCCAGGUGGGGCUGCCAUCCUCGUCAACCCUGUGAUACUUGUAGCACUCAGCCAACUCUCUCUUCUCACUGUCACAACUUCAGGAAACACUUUGAUCUUAAAUAUGCACAUGCCGAUAUAUAGUGAAUUCAAGCUUCAUCUUUAUUGCAGGAUGACAGUAGUAUCUCGUCCCAAAGGCAUUUAUAAAACAGGAGACACAUGAGUUAAUUUGGAAGAGGUGGAAGGAAGUUCAGGAUUUCCUGACAUCCCUUCCCUGUUCUUCCUCCCAAGCAUAGUUCUGGUUGGUAUCAUUUACUUUGGAAAAAUGGAAUAAGUCAUUAUGCUUCACUUAUUGAACUAAAACUUGAAAUUACAAUUUAUGCACAACCCUAGAAGCUGGAUUCAUUUGCAACAUGCACUUGAAUAAGGUUUUAAGAGUAACUGGGGCCAGGCGCAGUGACUCAUGCCUGUAAUUCCAGGACUUGGGAAGGUCAAGGUGGGUGGAUCACCUGAGGUCAGGAGUUCAAGACCAGCCUGGCCAACAUGGUGAAACCCCAUCUCUACUAAAUAUACAAAAUUAGCCAGGCAUGGUGGUGCACACCUGUAGUCUCAGCUACUUGGGAGGCGGAGGCAGGAGAAUCACUUGAACCCAGGAGGCAGAGGUUGCAGUGAUCCAAGAUCACGCCACUGCUCUCCAGCCUGGGCGAGAGAGUCAGACGCCAUCCCAAAAAUAAAUAAUAAAAAUAAAUUUUAAAAAAUAAAAGUACUGGAUGCCAGGGUAAUAGGGAUUUCAAAAGAAUAGAGAGAAAGAUACUUUUAAUGGACUAUGUCCAAACCAUGCAGCAAAUUUUGACAUUACAUUGACAUUUCAAAUAUUCAGUUAACCUUGAAGACUAUUCCCUUUCUCUUUUUCUGAUUUGUGCUUGCUUUUAUUAAUAAUCUAAUAAUUAUGUGGGUAGCCACUUACAACAGAGUGAUGGCCAAGCCUAAUUAGAUGAGUGUGUUUGAAAUGUGAUCUUAACAUUUAGAAGAACAGCAAGGAGAUGUGUUUUUUCAACCUGUUAAAUGCUAAAAUAUGUGAAGUACUGAACAUCUUGUUUUGUAUUUUUUUCUUCUUAUGAAAACUGUCCUUUUAUAAAUAAAUGUCAGUUUGUACCAA